AGUACCUCGUGUUACAGACACUUCAGGUUACAGACUCUGCUAACCCGGAAAUAGUGCCUCGGGUUAAGAACUUUGCUUUAGGAUGAGAACAGAAAUUGUGUGGCGGCAGCAGCAGGAGGCCCCAUUAGCUAAAGUAGUACCUCAGGUUAAGAACAGUUUCAGGUUAAGAAUGGACAUCCGGAACGAAUUAAGUUCUUAACCUGAGGUACCACUGUAUUCUAAAGCAGGGAUUCCCAAACUUGGGUCUCCAACUGUUGUUGGACUACAACUCCCAUCAUCCCUAGUUGACAAGACCAGUGAUCAGGGAUGAUGGGAACUGUAGUCCAACAACAGCUGGAGACCCAAGUUUGGGAAACUCUGUCCUAAAGACACCGCAGUCUCUACUGACCUUCGUUCCAAGUAAACCAAAAACUUCGUCAGCACUGGAACUGCUGGAGCCUCUCACCGCUCGGAGAUUGGGGUGCAUACAACAAUAGUUUAGCUGCUCUGGGAGUCUUUGGGGUUUAAAGUGCUGGUUAUUACCAUUUAAACCUUAACCUAGCCUGGACUUAAAAUGAUCAGACCUGUGGGCAUGCAAAAUGGGGCCUUUUUCAGUGGUACCCAGCAAACUAUGGAACUUCCGGCAGAGAUUAGGCUGGCUCCAUCUCCAGGAUCCUUUACGAAGGCUCUCAAAACCUUCCUCUUCACCUUGGCUUUAAUGGAGGGCUCCCUGGAUAUUUCCUGUGAAUCGUGGCUUAUUAUUUAAUGGUAGUGUAUCUUGUAUUGUGCACUUUUUUAUUGCUAGGUGGAGCUGGUACUUAUUGGAGCUUGCAAGCUGCUUUGUGAAGGAAGUUCCUCAAAAAAGCUGGGUAUUUAAACAUACAAAAUAACUGGAACAAUGGUCUUGGGAAACCAGAAUAGAAGGAAACUCUAGACGCAGCAGGCUGAGGUCAAAUCUGUGCAUUCCCUAUUAUUUAUGUUAUUAAUUUAAAAUAGUUACUUGUAGAGAAGAAAUCGAGAUAUUGGUAUAUGAUGAGGAUAUUUAUUUAUGGUAAGGAAAAAUGCAGUAUUUAGAAAUCUGCUUCAGAUUUUUCUAGCUGCAGUCCUAGAAUAUCAGAAUCUGGAGGCGCUCCCACCCAAGUUUUGCUUGGUUUCUGUCUCCACAAACAAGAAGUAACUCCAGCAGGCAUGGAAGACUGUGCUAGGCCCCACAAUGAGUACUUGUUGAUUAAUCAGGUUAAUAACUCCAGUUGUUUUAGUAAAACCGUACUCUGCUCAGAUCACUUGCCUGAAUUUUCUUAGGUGCCUGAAGAAUCAUAAUAAGUGUAUUUGGUGGAACAUUUCUCUAAAAUAUUUCUUAAUAUCUGCAUCCCGCCCCAAUCACACCAUAGAGUAGGGGGAGAGGAGUUGUUUUGCUUCCCCAGCCUCAAGCCCCUACGUUUUCAGUAAUGUUCAACAUGUAAGACAUAUUUGUUUGCACAGGAGUCAAAUUCCCCAGCUUAUUUAAUGUGUAAAAAUUCCCAUGGGGUAGCCAUGUUAGGCUGUAGACGCUAGGUCACUGGCACCUUAAAGACUUUAGAAAUUUAUUAUAGCACAAGCUUGUGUGGACUCAAAAGCGACAUCUUGAUGGAGAAGAUUGUAAGUGGGCAACUGAAUGGCAAUGGGAUGCAAAAACUAUAAUAGAAUCAUUAAAUUGUAGAGUUGGAAGGGACCCUGAGGGUAAUGUAGUCCAACCUCCUGCAAUGCAGGAAUCUCAACUAAAGCACCCAUGACAGAUGGAUGUGAAUUAGAGCUUAAUUUUUUUUGUUGAAUAGGCACCUGGGCUUGAGCAUCUCUUCCACAUUGUGUUAAUAUUUUAAAUGCCAGUCAACCUAUCACUGUAUGUUCUGUAUAUAAUCUCACCUCAAGGUCAUGUGAUACCCAAAUAAUCCCAGCAGAACGUUCUACCUAGGCCCUGGAAAAUGGCCAUUAGUUAUGCUUACUGCCCUUGUUCAGAUUUAUAUACCGUAGAUAGAUUAUACAUCCAAAAGAGCUGGAAAAUGUAUAUUUCCAGUUGUGCAAGCAGGAAUUAGCCUCACUGUAUUUUACACAUAAACUAACAAAUGAGGGGAGAAUCUGAGCAGCCUCUGGGGACUGGGGUUUGUUUGCCACUGGGCUACUCUAUCUCCAACUGGCAUCGGCGGAAACCUGAGUGCGCCAUUAAUGCUCUGCAGCCUCUGUUUGCUGAGGCACUUUGUGAACAGAGCCAGCUUGUUCUGCAGACUGACGUCCCUUUAUCUUCUCUGUCCAACCAUCCCCUCCCCCUUUCGCAACGGGGCAAAUGAUGACACUGGAAAAUAAAAGCCUUGAAACUUGGGCUCCUGAUUGGUAUCCUGCACCUGUUGCGCUGGUGACGAAAGGGUCUGUGGGCUUGCUUCGUACUAGAGGAGUGUGCAAAUACAUGCCAAGGGCCUAGCGAAAGGGUCUGCAGUUACUGAGGGAAAACAGGUUUCUUCAGUGGUGACUGCUAACAAACUAUUGCAGGAAAAACAACAAGGAGCCUUGUGCCGCCUUAAAAAAACUAACAAAUGUAUUAUGGCCCCUGCUUUUGUGGAUUUGAGCCCACUUUGUCAGGUGCCUGUAGUGAAAUCUUACCUGGCAGAUACAGAAAGGAGAAAAUUGUAAGGUAUAUGAAUGGCAACAAAAUGC